rnacentral:tRNA from 1 species
GUUUCUGUAGUGUAGUGGUUAUCACGUUCGCCUAACACGCGAAAGGUCCCUGGUUCGAGCCCAGGGGGAAACA